rnacentral:rRNA from 1 species
UACGUAGGGAGCAAGCGUUGUUCGGAUUUACUGGGCGUAAAGGGCGCGUAGGCGGCGUGUCAAGUCGAUUGUGAAUCUCCGGGCUUAACUCGGAACGGCCAAUCGAUACUGACGUGCUAGAGUGCAGAAAGGGCAAUCGGAAUUCUUGGUGUAGCGGUGAAAUGCGUAGAUAUCAAGAGGAACACCAAUGGCGAAGGCAGCUCACUGGGACGGUAUUGACGCUGGAGACGCGAAAGCGUGGGGAGCAAACAGG